CUUGAUUUGAUAAUAUGCUGUUAGUCAACCCAAAAUAUUCUUCUCUAUUUGCAGAUACAACCCUCACAUCAAGUGAAGUAUCUCUUUCACAACGUAUGCUAUCGGCCUUCACAGUCCCUGAUUCCAGGCUUCGCUAA
rnacentral:lncRNA from 1 species